rnacentral:rRNA from 1 species
CCUACGGGAGGCAGCAGUGAGGAAUAUUGGUCAAUGGCCGGAAGGCUGAACCAGCCAAGCCGCGUGAGGGAGGAAGGCGCAGAGCGUCGCAGACCUCUUUUGCCGGGGGACAAAAGGCCGGACUCGUCCGGUCAUGAGGGUACCCGGAGAAAAAGCAUCGGCUAACUCCGGGCCAGCAGCCGCGGUAAUACGGAGGAUGCGAGCGUUAUCCGGAUUCAUUGGGUGUAAAGGGUGCGCGGGCGGGCCUUUAAGCCGGCGGUGAAAUCGGGGGGCUCAACCCCGCCGAGCCUUCGGAACUGGGGGGCUUGAGUGCGGCGGAGGCAUGCGGAAUGCGCGGUGUAGCGGUGAAAUGCAUAGAUAUCGCGCAGAACCCCGAUUGCGAAGGCGGCGUGCCGUGCCGCCACUGACGCUGAGGCACGAAAGCGCGGGGAUCGAACAGGAUUAGAUACCCCUGUAGUC